UUUAACCCCGUCCCCCGCUGGCGUUAAUACCCAAUCCUGACACAGGGAGGUAGUGACAAGAAAUAACAAUACAGGGCUUUCGUCUUGUAAUUGGAAUGAUGGCGACUUAAACCCUCGCCAGAGUAACAAUUGGAGGGCAAGUCUGGUGCCAGCAGCCGCGGUAAUUCCAGCUCCAAUAGCGUAUAUUAAACUUGUUGCAGUUAAAAAGCUCGUAGUUGAAUUUCUGCGUUGCGUUUUUCUUGCUUUUUGCUUGACUUUCGCUUCGCUUUUUGGUUUUACUUUGAGAAAAUUAGAGUGUUUAUCGCAGACUUUUGUCUUGAAUACUUCAGCAUGGAAUAAUAGAGUAGGACCUUGGUUCUAUUUUGUUGGUUUUUGAGCCUUGGUAAUGGUUAAUAGGAACGGUUGGGGGCAUUCGUAUUUAAA
rnacentral:rRNA from 1 species